rnacentral:rRNA from 1 species
GACGAACGCUGGCGGCGUGCUUAACACAUGCAAGUCGAACGGAAAGGCCCCUUUGGGGGUACUCGAGUGGCGAACGGGUGCGUAACACGUGAGUAACCUGCCCUUGACUUCGGGAUAACUUCAGGAAACUGGGGCUAAUACCGGAUAGGAAUCCUUGCUGCAUGGUGGGGGUUGGAAAGCUUCGGCGGUUUUGGAUGGACUCGCGGCUUAUCAGCUUGUUGGUGGGGUAGUGGCUUACCAAGGCUUUGACGGGUAGCCGGCCUGAGAGGGCGACCGGCCACAUUGGGACUGAGAUACGGCCCAGACGCCUACGGGAGGCAGCAGGGGGGAAGAUUGCACAAUGGGCGGAAGCCUGAUGCAGCAACGCCGCGUGCGGGAUGACGGCCUUCGGGUUGUAAACCGCUUUCAGCAGGGGCGAAGCUUGUGGUGACGGUACCUGCAGAAGAAGCACCGGCUAACUACGUG